rnacentral:rRNA from 1 species
CCUACGGGCGACAGCAGUGGGGAAUAUUGCACAAUGGGCGAAAGCCUGAUGCAGCAACGCCGCGUGAGCGAUGAAGGCCUUCGGGUCGUAAAGCUCUGUCCUCAAGGAAGAUAAUGACGGUACUUGAGGAGGAAGCCCCGGCUAACUACUUGCCAGCAGCCGCGGUACUACGUAGGGGGCUGUCGUUAUCCGGAAUUACUGGGCGAAAGGGGGGCGUAGGGGGGUUCUUAAGUCGGAGGUGAAAGGCUACGGCUCAACCGUAGAAAGCCUUUGAAACUGGGAAACUUGAGUGCAGGAGAGGAGAGUGGAAUUCCUGGUGUAGCGGUGAAAUGCGUAGAUAUUAGGAGGAACACCAGUUGCGAAGGCGGCUGUCUGGACUGUAACUGACACUGAGGCACGAAAGCGUGGGGAGCAAACAGGAUUAGAUACCCCUGUAGUC